CCUACGGGAGGCAGCAGUGAGGAAUAUUGGACAAUGGGCGGGAGCCUGAUCCAGCCAUGCCGCGUGCAGGAAGACUGCCCUAUGGGUUGUAAACUGCUUUUUUACGGGAAGAAACACCCCCACGCGUGGGGGCUUGACGGUACCGUACGAAUAAGGACCGGCUAACUCCGUGCCAGCAGCCGCGGUAAU
rnacentral:rRNA from 1 species